CAAGUUUGGAACAGAAAGUUGGAUGUAAGUAUUGGGUGGUUACCUUAACAAUUUGGAAUUCACUAUUACUUACUCUUACUAAUCUGUCUAACAAAGAAAAUAAGCAUCUGUUCGAUGCUUCAUGAGUGUUGCAGAAAACACAUGGAGACUCGUCUUAUGUGCUUUGCCUGGGGCAUUAGCAAUGCUAUAAUUUGUUAUCACACAUAUGGAAGUUCCCACUUUUAUUGCACCUAUAGGUUUAAAUGUGUUUUGAUGAAAUGGAGAUUUGAAGAUUGUUAAGAAUGACAAUGAUUACAGUACGGGUGGCAUGGAAAUGCUACAGUAUUUUGACAUUUUUGGAUUUUUGUGGACCAAAUGCAAUGUACUUGCUAAUAUGACUUUUUAGCAAUUAGGUUACUGAUUGAAUGUUUGAUGAUUUGUUCAUAGCAUUUUAGGAGAUAAUCAGUGUUUUAGAGGACAAGAAAAGGCUGAAUGAAUGAAUUUGAGCUAUAUGUGUAAAAAGAAUGAAUUUGGUAAUAAAAAAGGAAAAAUGAGCUGUCAAUGAUUGAAAUUUUCUGGUUAGCCAGUACAUAGCACAAUUUCUACAUUCUGUGUUGCUGUUUUUGUGGUUAAUAAUUAUUCCGUCUAAACUACCAAAGCUGGCAUAAAUUCAUGUAUUUCUUACCUUAUAUUUAUCUUAAUUGAGAAUAUCUAUAAUAUGUUCUUUAUGUGGAACUGAAAAGUUCUGAUGAUAUCAUUCUCAUUUCUUUCCCUCAGUUAUUUUCAAGGUAUAUGAUUCAG
rnacentral:misc_RNA from 1 species